GACGGAGGAUGCAAGCGUUAUCCGGAAUUAUUGGGCGUAAAGCGUACGCAGGUGGCAUAUCAAGUCCUUUGUUAAAGCGCGAGGCUCAACCUCGUAAAGGCAGAGGAAACUGGUAAGCUAGAGUAUGGUGGGGGCAGGAGGAAUUCCCAGUGUAGCGGUGAAAUGCGUAGAUAUUGGGAAGAACACCAGCGGCGAAAGCGUCCUGCCAAGCCAAAACUGACACUCAUGUACGAAAGCUAGGGGAGCGAAUGGG
rnacentral:rRNA from 1 species